rnacentral:rRNA from 1 species
GAUGAACGCUGGCGGCGUGCUUAACACAUGCAAGUCGAGCGAGAAACUACAUGCAGACACUUCGGUAGAAGCGAGUAGCGGAAAGCGGCGGACGGGUGAGUAACGCGUAGGCAACCUGCCCUUCACAGAGGUAUAGCCUCGGGAAACCGGGAUUAAAACCACAUAAAAUCAUAGGUUCGCAUGAACCAAAGGUCAAAGAUUUAUCGGUGAAGGGUGGGCCUGCGUCUGAUUAGCUGGUUGGUAGGGUAAAAGCCUACCAAGGCGACGAUCAGUAGCCGACCUGAGAGGGUGAUCGGCCACAUUGGAACUGAGACACGGUCCAAACUCCUACGGGAGGCAGCAGUGGGGGGUAUUGCACAAUGGGGGAAACCCUGAUGCAGCAACGCCGCGUGAGGUAUGAAGGCCUUUGGGUUGUAAGCCUCUGUCCUAGGGGAAG